UACGUAGGGAGCAAGCGUUGUCCGGAAUCAUUGGGCGUAAAGCGCGCGUAGGCGGCCCUGUAAGUCCGUUGUGAAAGUCAAAGGCUCAACCUUUGAAAGCCGAUGGAUACUGCAGGGCUAGAGUCCGGAAGAGGCGAGUGGAAUUCCGGGUGUAGCGGUGGAAUGCGUAGAGAUCCGGAAGAACACCGGUGGCGAAGGCGGCCUGCUGGGAUCUUGCUGACGCUGAGGCGCGACAGCGUGGGGAGCAAACAGG
rnacentral:rRNA from 1 species